rnacentral:rRNA from 1 species
GAUGAACGCUGGCGGCGUGCCUAAUACAUGCAAGUCGAGCGAACAGACGAGGAGCUUGCUCCUCUGAUGUUAGCGGCGGACGGGUGAGUAACACGUGGAUAACCUACCUAUAAGACUUGGAUAACUUCGGGAAACCGGAGCUAAUACCGGAUAACAUGUUGAACCGCAUGGUUCAACAGUGAAAUACGGUCUUGCUGUCACUUAUAGAUGGAUCCGCGCCGCAUUAGCUAGUUGGUAAGGUAACGGCUUACCAAGGCAACGAUGCGUAGCCGACCUGAGAGGGUGAUGGGCCACACUGGAACUGAGACACGGUCCAGACUCCUACGGGAGGCAGAAGUAGGGAAUCUUCCGCACUGGGCGAAAUCCUGACGGAGCAACGCCGGGUGAGUGAAGAAGGUCUUCGGAUCGUAAGACUCUGUUAUUAGGGAAGAACAAAUGUGUAAGUAACUAUGCACGUCUUGACGGUACCUAGUCAGAAAGCCACGGCUAACUACGUG